rnacentral:rRNA from 1 species
AUGAAGAAGGGGGGGCUGCUGCGGUGCGUGUCGACGGGGGCGUGCAGGGUGGCGCCGGGGGCCGUGGCGGAGAUGGCGAUCUCGCCGUCGGCGGCGUCGGGGAAGGUGCCGGCGGGGCACGUGCCGGUGGAGGUGGGCGCGGAGGGGGAGGAGACGGAGCGCUUCCUCGUGCCGGCCGAGCUGCUGGGCCGCCCGCCCAUCGCCGAGCUGCUCCGCCGGGCCGCGCAGGAGUACGGCUAG